rnacentral:sRNA from 1 species
UGAAAGAUGAUGAUGAUGAGAUUCUGAAGAUGGUUUUUGUUGUUACUGCAGCAGAGUGAGGACUGUGGAACAAGACCACCGAGAAACUCAUUGUUGUGUCCCCAAAAUAUUGUCUAUUUUUUCUUGAAUCCUAUAAAAUACAUUUAGGGGGUGUUAUUCGUUAAUGGAUUUUAAUAGAAUUGAAAUUCAACACUAAUUUACUGUUAUUCAACUAAUGAUUCUAAAUCUAGCUUUAAAAUCUAGUAUUAUUGGAACUCAUAUUUGUAAAUCAUGUUUAAUAGAUUUUAAAGUUUGGUGUUAUUCAAUUAAGAUUUUAAAUAUUUCAUUAAAAUCCAAUGUUAUUCAAAACUAAAAGACUUGUAAAAUCUUUGUAUAUUAAUUGAUUUGAAAUGAAAUCUCUUUGGAGUUUCAUGAGUAAAUCAUUAGAAUCAAAAUUCAAGACAUAUUGCAGAGAUUUUGAAAUUCAUACAAACAUAUUCUUAAAAGCAAUAUCAGAAAACAAAUCUAAAGCUUAAAAAAUUGACUUUAACUCCAUAAUAUAUUAUGUUAGUCUAUUUUGGUAUCCAAAAAAUCUUAUUUGUUGUAGGCAACGGGAAGUUGAUUAAACUGGAAAGGAGAAUAAGUUUCUUUUGCUUCUCUAUGGACAUACAUAGAAAUUUUUCU